ACACAUGCAAGUCGAACGGAGAUUACUUCGGUAAUCUUAGUGGCGAACGGGUGAGUAACGCGUGGGCAACCUGCCCUCUAGAUGGGGACAACAUCCCGAAAGGGGUGCUAAUACCGAAUGUGACAGCAAUCUCGCAUGAGGAUGCUGUGAAAGAUGGCCUCUAUUUAUAAGCUAUCGCUAGAGGAUGGGCCUGCGUCUGAUUAGCUAGUUGGUGGGGUAACGGCCUACCAAGGCGAUGAUCAGUAGCCGGUCUGAGAGGAUGAACGGCCACAUUGGGACUGAGACACGGCCCAGACUCCUACGGGAGGCAGCAGUGGGGAAUCUUCCGCAAUGGGCGAAAGCCUGACGGAGCAAUGCCGCGUGAGUGAUGAAGGAAUUCGUUCCGUAAAGCUCUUUUGUUUAUGACGAAUGUGCAGGUUGUGAAUAAUGACUUGUAAUGACGGUAGUAAACGAAUAAGCCACGGCUAACUACGUGCCAGCAGCCGCGGUAAUACGUAGGUGGCGAGCGUUGUCCGGAAUUAUUGGGCGUAAAGAGCAUGUAGGCGGUUUUUUAAGUCUGGAGUGAAAAUGCGGGGCUCAACCCCGUAUGGCUCUGGAUACUGGAAGACUUGAGUGCAGGAGAGGAAAGGGGAAUUCCCAGUGUAGCGGUGAAAUGCGUAGAUAUUGGGAGGAACACCAGUGGCGAAGGCGCCUUUCUGGACUGUGUCUGACGCUGAGAUGCGAAAGCCAGGG
rnacentral:rRNA from 1 species